AGCUUGGAGCUACUUCUCCCUCUCAGGUGCAGAGUAAUCACGAAUGGGAGUUCCAUUCACAUAUAGUACAUUUAUUUCAUGGCUCUGCAUCCCCCUAUUGUGCCCCACCCUAUUCCCAUUAAGCACUCACACAUGAUGCUGAAAGCCAGGGCAGCUGUACUCAUCUAUCAAAGCCUGUCAGCUUGAGAGCUUAGGCUCUUCCCAUUAAUUAAGCAAAUGUAAUGUGAUUAGCUAAGGCUGUAAAUGUUUCUAGGCCCACUUAGAAAGCUACAAAACCCCGAGCAUUACAGUCUCUCAUUUUCAUGCACUUGCACUAUCUGAGAUGCUCCUCUGGGGCUGAGAUUUUUGUUCCUAAACUUCUGUCUGUGUGAGAAAAUAGGGAGCUGUAAUAGAAAGCAUUCAGAAUGGGUCAUAUCCUGUAGUCCUUAAAUUGCUGUUUGAAUUAUAGGAGUCUGGAGAAGUUGUUGAUUUGUAUACUUUCAAAAAAAACCUCUCCUGCCUACAUGUGUUUUUAAAUGGAUGUAACAAGAGCUGCUGAAAGCUGAGAUUUGGAAAUCUGAAAGGGAUUUUUCCACAUGAGACAGGAAGAAUGUACCAUCAUGGCAGGCAAAGCAAGAGCAGGAAUCUAAGCGUGUGCUGCAAUCAGGAAGAAGCAGGAAACCAAGAGUUAAUUCACCCCUUGGCUGAAGGAGAUUCAAAGACUCUUCUCAGCAAGACUGUCUCUCACUGCAGGCUUGUGUGAGGUUUUUUUGAGUGGAGAAAUUCCCCAUCUCUCCUGGACCAAUAGCAGAGAAAAGGACUCUCAGACCUAUAUGGCCAAGGAGCCCUUGCAAAAUAAGAUGCAGUGCUGGAGCUUAAUGUUUUGGGCCAGUAUCUUUGAGAGUAAACAGAUCUACUGAAAUGCUGCAGCAUCUACUAGCAAUUACUGCAGGUGUUUCAAAGCCACCUAAGGGGCACAGGUUAUCUUUCCUUUUUUUAGGCGGUUAGACCCUAACCGUCAAAGGCAAUUCCAAUGACUGUAAGAUACCAAAACACCUCUAGGAGCCUAUGACUUACUAGCUUUCAAGAAAGAACAGGUUAUCAGCCUGAUAUCUGAGGGCAUGUCAGCACUUGAAGAAAUGUAGGGAAACCUAAGUGCCAUUCUGACAAGCUUUUAGGUACCCAGCUCUAGUGAAAAUCAUGGAAGUCUAAUGCGUGGGGUAUUAUGAGACUCUGCUGGGUGCUCCUCUGCUACUCCAAGCAAGGUUUUCUGUAGUGUUUUAACGCCUUUUUAAAUCGGUGGUUUGAUGGCUGAAUACUUUCAGAAAUCUGGCUUCCACUUUUCUCAAAAAUGGGAUUUUUUUCCCUACGACUUAUGCUAUUGAGGUGUAGCCUCUACCAAUAAUAGUGGAAACCUAAUUAUUUUACUCAGAGGACCCAAAGAGCCUUUUUCAUACAUCAGUUUCAUGCUGGCAUUCAGUUAAUGUUGAUGUAAUGUCUCCUUUAAGACUGUAAUUGUAUUUACCAACAUGGUCACCGAAGAGCCAUUUAUAAAUUGUAUAUAUAGUUGCAAUUCAGCAUGUGCUGUGAGUAUUUCAUUGGGUUAGUCCCAACAUCACAAGUUAAUAAUACUGAAAAGAGGGAUAUGGGUAAAUCGCAGAGAACACUGCACUCAGGAUAUGGCUAACAGUGAUUAAGUAGUCUCUGCUUUCAGAAGAAAGAUAAGGGCCAAAAAGAAUAGGUCCCUUGAUAACAUCAGGUAAUUCUUAUAUAUGGUCCUUCAUGACACAGGCAUAAAUCACAAUAAAACCCAUCUGCAGAUCUAAGGGGUGAAACAUAAAUCCUGCUUUAUAAAUGAGAACUGCACAUCUGAUAGUGUACACUGUUCCAGAUUUACGGCAGCAGUAAAUGAUGUACUAAGGUGCAGAAACCCAUUUGCGUGUUCUGGCUGGAAAGAA